rnacentral:lncRNA from 1 species
UAUAUAAACACAGACACUAGUGACAGAGAAGACUAAGUAAUUAAUUUUACAAGGUUCCAUUGUAAGUAAGGGGUGAAAUUGAGUUUAGAACUGUCAAUUUUACAAAUUACGAUCAAAGUAGUUGCCACAAAGACUGAGACAAACGCUUUGAACUGACAGCAAAUCUAAGUUAUGGUAGUCAUUUUAGAUAAGCCAAAUGACGUCAAAAUCGUCAUCAGGAAAAGUUAACUCUUUCCUGGAUAGGAAGGUUUAGUUAG